UACGAAGGAUGCGAGCGUUAUCCGGAUUUAUUGGGUUUAAAGGGUGCGCCGGCGGGGAAUUAAGUCAGAGGUGAAAUCUGGACGCUCAACGUUCACAUUGCCUUUGAAACUGGUUUUCUUGAGUGUAGUUGAAGUAGGCGGAAUUCGUUGUGUAGCGGUGAAAUGCAUAGAUAUAACGAGGAACUCCGAUAGCGUAGGCAGCUUACUAAACUAUAACUGACGCUCAUGCACGAAAGUGUGGGUAUCAAAC
rnacentral:rRNA from 1 species